UACGGAGGGUGCGAGCGUUGUCCGGAAUCACUGGGCGUAAAGCGCGUGUAGGCGGGUCCUUAAGUCAGGGGUGAAAUACCAAGGCUCAACCUUGGAACUGCCUUUGAUACUGGGGAUCUUGAGUCCGGGAGAGGUGAGUGGAACUGCGAGUGUAGAGGUGAAAUUCGUAGAUAUUCGCAAGAACACCAGUGGCGAAGGCGGCUCACUGGCCCGGAACUGACGCUGAGACGCGAAAGCGUGGGGAGCAAACAGG
rnacentral:rRNA from 1 species